rnacentral:rRNA from 1 species
AGCGCAGGUGGUGAUUUAAGUCUGAUGUGAAAGCCCACGGCUCAACCGUGGAAGGUCAUUGGAAACUGGAUCACUUGAGUGCAGAAGAGGAAAGUGGAAUUCCAUGUGUAGCGGUGAAAUGCGUAGAUAUAUGGAGGAACACCAGUGGCGAAGGCGACUUUCUGGUCUGUAACUGACACUGAGGCUCGAAAGCGUGGGGAGCAAACAG